AACACAUCCCUCACUUGGGGCAAAUACUUGCUCCAUUAUAUAAAGUAAUGCAAAAGAAAUAUGAAUUUGAGUGGGGAAAUGAGCAGCAGCAAGCAUUCGAAACAGCUAAACAAGCAAUUCAGCAGGCUCUGGACCUCUGGCCAGUACAGGCCAGAGAAGUGGAAUUGAAUGUCUCUGUAAAUGAUAAUUAUGCCAAUUGGAGUCUUUGGCAGAAGCAGGGUAGGAAGAAAGUGCCCUUAGGAUUUUGGAACCGAAAAUUACCUGAAGCUGGGCAAAG